rnacentral:tRNA from 1 species
CAAGAUAUAGUUUAUGUAAAAUAUUAAUUUUGGAGAUUAGAGAAAUUAGUAUUAAUUUUCUUGA